rnacentral:rRNA from 1 species
UACAGGGGGUGCAAACGUUGCUCGGAAUCAUUGGGCGUAAAGAGCGCGUAGGCGGCCCUGUAAGUCCGCUGUGAAAGUCAAGGGCUCAACCCUUGGAUGCCGGUGGAUACUGCAGGGCUAGAGUCCGGAAGAGGCGAGUGGAAUUCCUGGUGUAGCGGUGGAAUGCGCAGAUAUCAGGAAGAACACCCGUGGCGAAGGCGGCUCUCUGGGACGGUACUGACGCUGAGACGCGAAAGCGUGGGGAGCGAACAGG